UACAGAGGUCUCAAGCGUUGUUCGGAUUCAUUGGGCGUAAAGGGUGUGUAGGUGGCGCGCUAAGUCGGGUGUGAAAUUUCGGAGCUUAACUCCGAAACUGCAUUUGAUACUGGCGUGCUUGAGGACUGGAGAGGAGACUGGAAUUCAUGGUGUAGCAGUGAAAUGCGUAGAUAUCGAGAGGAACACCUGCGGCGAAGGCGGGUUGCUGGGCUGACACUGACGCUGAUGCGCGAAAGCCAGGGGAGCGAACGGG
rnacentral:rRNA from 1 species